rnacentral:rRNA from 1 species
UACGAAAGGGGCUAGCGUUGUUCGGAAUUACUGGGCGUAAAGCGCACGUAGGCGGAUUUGCCAGUCAGGGGUGAAAUCCCGGGGCUCAACCUCGGAACUGCCUCUGAUACAGCAAGUCUUGAGUCCGGAAGAGGUGGGUGGAAUUCCUAGUGUAGAGGUGAAAUUCGUAGAUAUUAGGAAGAACACCAGUGGCGAAGGCGGCCCACUGGUCCGGUACUGACGCUGAGGUGCGAAAGCGUGGGGAGCAAACAGG